AUGAACGCUAGCGGCAGGCCUAAUACAUGCAAGUCAAGGGGAUAGCAAUAUCACCGGCGGACGGGUGCGUAACGCGUACACAACGUGCCCAAGGGCGGAGGAAAGCGGCGGGAAACUGCCGGUAAUACUCCAUGGUGUUGUUGAGUGGCAUCACUUAACAACUAAAGUACAAGCGCCCUUGGAUCGGUGUGCGUUCGAUUAGCUAGUUGGCGGGGUAACGGCCCACCAAGGCUACGAUCGAUAGGGGGUGUGAGAGCAUGACCCCCCACACGGGUACUGAGACACGGACCCGACUCCUACGGGAGGCAGCAGUAAGGAAUAUUGGACAAUGGGCGGAAGCCUGAUCCAGCCAUGCCGCGUGAAGGAUGAAGGCGCUCAGCGUUGUAAACUUCUUUUGGAUGGGAACAAUAACCGAGACUUGUCUUGGCUUGAGGGUACCAUCAGAAUAAGCACCGGCUAACUCCGU
rnacentral:rRNA from 1 species